rnacentral:rRNA from 1 species
AGUGAACGCUGGCGGUAGGCCUAACACAUGCAAGUCGAACGGCAGCACAGUAAGAGCUUGCUCUUACGGGUGGCGAGUGGCGGACGGGUGAGGAAUACAUCGGAAUCUACUUUUUCGUGGGGGAUAACGUAGGGAAACUUACGCUAAUACCGCAUACGACCUACGGGUGAAAGCAGGGGAUCUUCGGACCUUGCGCGAUUGAAUGAGCCGAUGUCGGAUUAGCUAGUUGGCGGGGUAAAGGCCCACCAAGGCGACGAUCCGUAGCUGGUCUGAGAGGAUGAUCAGCCACAAUGGAACUUAGAAACGGUCCAAACUACUACGGGAGGCAGCAGUUGGGAAUAUUGGACAAAGGGCGCAAGCCUGAUCCAGCCAUACCGCGUGGGUGAAGAAGGCCUUCGGGUUGUAAAGCCCUUUUUUUGGGAAAGAAAAGCAUCAGGUUAAUACCCCGCUGUUCUGACGGUAACCAAAGAAUAAGCAACGGCUAACUUCGUG